AGUGAACGCUGGCGGUAGGCCUAACACAUGCAAGUCGAACGGCAGCACAGUAAGAGCUUGCUCUUACGGGUGGCGAGUGGCGGACGGGUGAGGAAUACAUCGGAAUCUACUUUUUCGUGGGGGAUAACGUAGGGAAACUUACGCUAAUACCGCAUACGACCUACGGGUGAAAGCAGGGGAUCUUCGGACCUUGCGCGAUUGAAUGAGCCGAUGUCGGAUUAGCUAGUUGGCGGGGUAAAGGCCCACCAAGGCGACGAUCCGUAGCUGGUCUGAGAGGAUGAUCAGCCACACUGGAACUGAGACACGUCCAGACUCCUACGGGAGGCAGCAGUGGGGAAUAUUGGACAAUGGGCGCAAGCCUGAUCCAGCCAUACCGCGUGGGUGAAGAAGGCCUUCGGGUUGUAAAGCCCUUUUGUUGGGAAAGAAAAGCAGCAGGUUAAUACCCCGCUGUUCUGACGGUACCCAAAGAAUAAGCACCGGCUAACUUCGUG
rnacentral:rRNA from 1 species